rnacentral:lncRNA from 1 species
UCUGCCAAGCAGAGAGGGCAGCAGAGCUCUGAGUGGAGGAUACAGCAGCCAUAGGCUCAACUUGUCUGCAGGUUCACAGAUUUCUUUGUCAGUCAUUUUCCCCCUUGGGAAUCCUGAGUGCUAAGUUUGAAGAGAAUAUUAACUAAGGAAUCCACUUAGGCUAGUUAUAAGGAAAAGCAGUCUAUUUAUCUAAAAAAAAAAAAAAAGGUGCUGAAGAGUUUAUUUUGUCCAUACACAUGGAAAGGAACUCAGCUAAAAGUGAGCAAACAGUUCUCUCGGUGUGCGGGAACUGUGAUAAAGCUGCCCCCCACCCCCAGGAGGAGCAUCUGAGUUGGAGGUAGACCUCCAGAGCGUCACUCCAGCCCUUCUCUUCACUUGAACUCAUCACCUCUGUGUAUUCACACUGCCUUUCUCUUCCCACCUAUUUACCUUAUUAAUAGUCCCUGUAGAGCUGGGGCCUGUAGAGAGCUUUGGCGGCAAAGGGAGAUUAGAAGGAGCAGAUGUCCUAGUUGUACCUGAUCCUUGCUUUUGAAUAGUUAAUAGCCUCAUUGAGGUUCAAAUGAUCUCAUGAAUGGGAAACUGCUGCAUGUUUUAAAUGUCAAACCUGAGUCACAGGAAAUCAGAAUAGAGCCAGAAAGUCAAAGGGUUCUGACAGUCAGAUCCUGCCAGUCACUAAGCCUUGGUGCUCUUGGCUUUAAAACAAAACAAAACAAAACAGAACAAAACAAAAAACUGGCUUGUAAACACUGAACUCACAAGGUCAUUUUAAGAGUCAAAUAAAGUAAUGUGCGGAGUUCCUGUUGUGGCUCAUCGGAAAUGAAUCCGACUAGUAUCCAGGAGGACACAGGUUCGAUCCCUGGCCUAGCUCAGUGGGUUAAGGAUCCGGUGUUGUCAUGCGCUGUGGUGCAGGUCGCAGACACAGCUCAGAUCCCAAGUUGCUGUGGCUGUAUAGAAACCCUUGGCUACAGCUCAGAUUCGACCCCUAGCCUGGAAACCUCGAUAUGCUGCAGAUAUGGCCCUAAAAAAAGACAAAAAAUAAAUAAAUGAGUAAUUAAAUAAUAUGGAAGGGCUUUAAUGAUGACAUAUAUUUACAAAAUCAUAAGAAGAAGUUAUUCAAGGUUCAGAAUGAAUGUUUCAAGCAUUGGUUUUGGAAAUUAUUCAAACCAGUGAAAGAUCAAGUUGAAUGCUCAUUCCCCUGCUUCCUAGCUAUUACUGACCACGUUCACUAGAUGUUAGCCUCUAACUUCUCUGUGCCUCAGUCCUCUCAUCUGUAAAAGGAAGAUAAUAAUAGUAGCUUUCUCAGGGCUGCUACUGAGGAACAAAGGAGAGAAUAUAUUUAGAACAUGUGCUAAGUAAUAGCUGCUAUUGUUGCUUUUAUUAUUAUUACUAUUCUGUUACUAGCACAGCUAAUCCCUCUAUCACUCCAGUUAGAGAGUACUUGACAGGCAUGGGUGAGAUCUGUACCCACAGGAGGAAUCUUAUCAAGGAAAAGUAGAUUAAGAUAGAAGGUGAGGAAUGUCCAGGCAGAUGUGUCUGCCUCUUGAGGUGAUACAUGGGGGCCUUGGGAGCUGUGUGUUGAGAAGGGAAGAAAGAGGAGAGUCUUGUAUAUGUUAGUAUAGAUUUCUUCCCUGGCAGUCUGGCAGACAGGUGGGGAGAGAGCUCCAGUCCAUGUCUCUGUUGAAGGAAAUAAAAAUUUCCAUAUUUAACUUUGAUUGACCUUCUAGUCCAAAGACCUAUCCACGUCUGUAUCUGUCAGAACUUCGAUUCACUCCACGUCCUCAUUCCGUGAAAGUGCUGCCUACAGAUCAAUGUGGGAAUUCCUUAACCCAGUACUCAACACCUGCCACAUUCUGAUCCUCUGUCCUACUUUUCAGCCUCUGGGACCUUAGCUGAAAUUUUACGAAAUGAAUGCACACACGGGUUGUUCUUAAUGAAAUAAUAAAUCUUCAGGUCUACAUUAGUUAAAUACCAUUGUGAUACAAAUUGCCACAGAAUUUAGCUACUUAACACAAGGAACACAGGUCAUCUCACAGUUUCUGUUGUGGGGAAUCCAGGGUUGGUCUAGCUGGGUCCUCUGUGUCAAGGUCUAUUGCAAAUGCAGUCGCAGCGUGGGCCAGGGCUGGGGUCCUGUCACACAGUCUGCCUGGGGCAGGGUUGCCUCCAGGCACACUCAUCUGCUUGUUGGCAGGAUGCAGUUCCUCAUGCAUGGUUGGACUAAAGGCCUCUUUGGCUUUUGGCUGGAGGCUGCCCAGAGUUCUUUCCCUCAUGAGCUUCUGCCUAGGGAAGCCCGUAAACCACAUCAUGGCAGUUGGCUUCAUCAGAGUAAACAAACAGAAAAUCAAAGGGAACAAGACAGAAGUCACAGGCUUAGUUUCAGAAGUGAGUUUCCAUCACUUUGUAAUACUCUUAUUCAUUAGAGACAGGUCACUGGCUCCAGCCCACACUUAAGGGGCAUGAACACCAGAAAGUGGGGAUCGAUCAUUUGAGAACCAUUUCUCAAGUGUGGUAGCUGCCUACCACACUUACAAAGUAGAAUGUUAUAGCAAUGCUUGCUCCUGUAACAACAGACGUAUGCUGAAAUGUCAGAAGCAACAUAAUACAUUGUUAUGUAAUACCUCAUUUGUAUAAGGUCUAAGAGGAUAAGUGAGCUGAGUGGGGUGCUCUGCUCCAAGGUUUCUAAAGCAUCCAUGCUGAAAGAGUCAUUGACAUGUGAAUAGAUGUACCUUCCACAGUUGUCCUGGCUGGCAACAUUCUGGAAGGCAGACGGAGAAAACGGAGGAAGAGAAUAUGAGGAAUCACAGUGGAGAUUUUUGUUUUGUUUUGUUUUGUCUUUUUACCAUUUCUUGGGCCGCUCCCAGGGCAUAUGGAGGUUCCCAGGCUAGGGGUCAAAUUGGAGCUGUAGCCACCAGCCUACAGCAGAGCCACAGCAACGCAGUAUCCAAGCCACAUCUGCAACCUACCCCACAGCUCACAGCAACGCCGGAUCCUUAACCCAAUGAGCAAGGCCAGGGAUCAAACCUGCAACCUCAUGGUUCCUAGUCAGAUUCUUUAACCACUGAGCCACGACGGGAACUCCACAGUGGAGAUUUUUAUGGGUAUGUGUUUCAUCUCUGCUCAUACUUUAUUGGCCAGAAGUCCCGUGACCCACCCUGCCACCCCAACCCCAGCUGCAGGGUUCCUGCUUGCCGCCCCAACCUACCUUUCGGGUUCCUGCUUGCCCUAGAGGCCACACUUCCUAUUCCUGUGUAAAGCAGCCAUGAGUAAGCCUGGAGCCAAGGACAUAGUGCCCGGGCUUCCCUUCCCACUGCUUUGUUGCACUCAGGCUCCCUGAGAAUCAGUGCUGGAUCACCUUCUCACUCACCUAUUCCUCCUGAACUCGGCCUUCACCUUUUUGUAUGAAACAUGCUGACCAAGCGCCUCCUUUUUAUUUAUACUUUGAGGUCUUCUGAGGCCUAUAUUUCAAGGUCUUCGUUUAUAAACAGGCUUUGUCUUGCUAACUAGAUAAAAGCACAGGAGAUGAUAUAGGAUGAGAUAUUUCAUUAGACACUUAAAUUUUAUCGCAUUUCUCCCGGGGGCUUGUUUACACUGAAAGAAAAAAAAACAGAAAAGCGUUUUGCAUGUUAAAUAGUCACCAAAGCAUGCAUUUGUGGGGUAACUUGGCUGGCAAAUGGUACAGACCCAUGUAGAAGGGCCAAGGGAUGUCAUCGGAGGCUACAAUGCCCAUGUUCAGAGCAUCUGCCCCUUUUGUUAUAUCUACCAUUAUCUCCAGAGCAGUGGCUUCCUUAAGUGGACAAAUCCUCUGAACUUUAGAUUUCGGAGUAGGUCAUGGCUGGGACCUUUGUUUCGAGAACUUUUUAAGACAAAUGACUUCUAGCAUGAGCCAAAACUACAUUAAAUCCACUUAAGUUUGGAUUAUCAGCAGAAACUUCAGGUUUUAUCAGUAAAAAAAUGUCCAUUAGGUUCUUGCAAGCCCUAUCUUUCAUCUUUUUUUUUCUAGCUGGAUCAUCACUUGAUAGAGAUCCUGCCAUGUAAUCUUUCUUGUCAGUAACGCUGACUAUAACCUAUAUUUAAGUUACUUCCCAGUGGAAAGCCCCAGAUGGAUUAGUCCUGAGCACCCUCAUGUGUUCCUGCCUGUGUUCCACACCAUCCCCUUGCCCUGAUUUACCAUUCUCUUCCUCUUUUUGCACAAGGCUUUUUCUUUAGAUUCCAUAUUCAGACUAUUCAAUCAAGGGAUAAGUCCAUUUCAGAAGAUUUUCCUCAUCUUUGAAGCUAGUUGAACAAGUGGUUAGUAACCUUUCUUUGUUCACAGUCUCCUAAGAACCUCAUUAUUUCCAUUAUUUUCUUUAAGCCAGAGAAAAUAUAGGCAGUAUCUUUAUAAUACCAAGGACUUGAGGUAAAAAAGAGGAAGAAAAUAAAUUCAUCAUCUGGAUAUAUCUAAAUAGUCAGAUCUGGUUCAUAAGAAGCUGAACUGAGUUGUAACUAAAUUGUGUCCAUGUGACCCAGACAUCCUCUGACUUCAGGUUGUACCAAACUUCCCAGGGCACCAGCUCCAAUUCCAUUUCAGUGACUGUACAUCAUCCCCCCACCCCCUUCCAGGAACCAAUGUCCACGAAGCCCAGAACAUUCUCACUAACAGCGGACUCCCCAUUACUUCGGCUGUCGACCUGGAGGAUGCAGCCAAGAAGGCUGUGGCCAGCGUGACUAAGAAGUGAUGCCUUUGUCCUGAUCCCUCGGAGGAAGAAGUUUUCCCAUAAGAAGGGAUUGUUCUCUCAUCACUGUGAAAGAAAUGGUUAUCCCAAUGAGGGGAAAAAAAAAAAAAAACAGAAGAAGGGAAGAGCAAGAAGCACUGUAUUAAAAAAUCUUAAAUCGGUUUUUUCUUGAAUAAGAUAUCUAGACAGCCUAAAUAAUCUGAUUUCCCUUAUAAUAUAAUGCCCUGGGUUCUCAUACUUUUCUGUCCUGGUGAGCCAGCUCAGUAGGCAUUGUUUUGCCAACUUUGGAGAACUGUCCAUAUGGCCAGACAUUGUGUGUAUAUACAGCAUUUGAGAUCAGGCUCUGGUUCAUUUACGGUAAAUUUGGUGAACAUUUCAUCCUGUGUUAAUUAAAAAAAAAAAGUCACAGGCUAUUAAAAAAACUCAGACAAGAUUACAUUUAGCAGAUUAACCGUGAAAAAGGUACAACUAAGACAUUCAAACAAACAUCUGUUAUAAACUGCAACAGUUUUUACAAUUUCUAAUUCUAACAUGUUUGGAAAAUCUGUGAAUAUUACAAAAAUGUAUUUUACAAUGGAAAAUCUGCAUUAAUAUCCUAUAUAUGUGUCCUCCCAUUUGCCUUAAUAUUAAAUAUACUGUUUAACUCACACUAAAAAUAAAGCCAGAAGCCUUUUUUGUGAUUUUGGAGUAGAAGGUUCUCUUUUUACAUCAAAACUGAAGACUGUGAAUUCUUAUGGAAAUCACUGAUUCAGUCAUUUCAAGAUGAGACAGCAUCGAAGAUCAGAUUAUGCUGUGUCACUGUCUUCCCUCCCCUCCUCGUACCCACUAUAAUCUACCACCUGAGAAAAUGUUAUUGAGAGAAUGUGCCUUUUUUUGCAUAAUGUCCAUUCUUGUGGUGAGAAAGAAUGUGAAUUAGAUUUUUGUCUAAAUUUUGAUAAAUUUUGAUCUGUACACAAAUUCAAAUAAAGUCCUCUGUUUUG